UGGGGAAUCUUCCGCAAUGGACGAAAGUCUGACGGAGCAACGCCGCGUGAGUGAUGACGGCCUUCGGGUUGUAAAGCUCUGUUAAUCGGGACGAAUGGUUCUUGUGCGAAUAGUGCAAGGAUUUGACGGUACCGGAAUAGAAAGCCACGGCUAACUACGUGCCAGCAGCCGCGGUAAUACGUAGGUGGCAAGCGUUGUCCGGAAUUAUUGGGCGUAAAGCGCGCGCAGGCGGAUUGGUCAGUCUAUCUUAAAAGUUCGGGGCUUAACCCCGUGAUGGGAUGGAAACUGCCAAUCUAGAGUAUCGGAGAGGAAAGUGGAAUUCCUAGUGUAGCGGUGAAAUGCGUAGAUAUUAGGAAGAACACCAGUGGCGAAGGCGACUUUCUGGACGAAAACUGACGCUGAGGCGCGAAAGCCAGGGGAGCGAACGGG
rnacentral:rRNA from 1 species